rnacentral:misc_RNA from 1 species
GAGAAAAGCACCCUCCGGGGCGCACUACUCUUCAUACCCUCACACCUGUGCACCUUGCGGGUGGGGAAGGCGGACCCCUCCGGGGGCGAGCACUACCCGCCUCGCUUUUCAUACACCUUAUUCUUAAUGUCCCGGAACGUGAUAUACAAUGAGAAAUA